rnacentral:piRNA from 1 species
UACAAUCUCUUCUUUAGCCUGCCCAAACCU